rnacentral:rRNA from 1 species
UACAGAGGUCUCAAGCGUUGUUCGGAUUCAUUGGGCGUAAAGGGUGCGUAGGCGGCGCGGUAAGUCGGGUGUGAAAUCUCGGGGCUUAACUCCGAAACUGCAUUCGAUACUGCCGUGCUUGAGGACUGGAGAGGAGACUGGAAUUUACGGUGUAGCGGUGAAAAUGCGUAGAUAUCGUAAGGAAGACCAGUGGCGAAGGCGGGUCUCUGGACAGUUCCUGACGCUGAGGCACGAAGGUCAGGGGAGCAAACGGG